GGAUUAGAUACCCUGGUAGUCCUAGCUGUAAACGAUCAGCACUAGACUGAGGGAACUCCCACAUUCUCUCGGUCGUAGCGAAAGUGUUAAGUGCUGCGCCUGGGGAGUAUGGCCGCAAGGCUGAAACUCAAAGGAAUUGACGGGGGCUCACACAAGCGGUGGAGGAUGUGGCUUAAUUCGAGUCUACGCGAAGAACCUUACCUAGGCUUGAACUGCUUGAGAACACUCUAGAAAUAGAGUGGUGCCUUUCGGGGAGCUCUUGCAGAGGUGCUGCAUGGCUGUCGUCAGCUCGUGUUG
rnacentral:rRNA from 1 species